rnacentral:rRNA from 1 species
UACGUAGGGGGCGAGCGUUGUCCGGAAUUAUUGGGCGUAAAGAGCUCGUAGGCGGCUUAGUAAGUCGGCGGUGAAAUACCGAGGCUCAACCUCGGCACUGCCGUCGAUACUGCUAUGGCUAGAGUUUGGUAGAGGAGAACGGAAUUCCUGGUGUAGCGGUGAAAUGCGCAGAUAUCAGGAAGAACACCCGUGGCGAAGGCGGCUCUCUGGUACGUGACUGACGCUGAGACGCGAAAGCGUGGGGAGCAAACAGG